rnacentral:rRNA from 1 species
GGAUUAGAUACCCUGGUAGUCCACGCCCUAAACGAUGUCAACUGGUUGUUGGGUCUUCACUGACUCAGUAACGAGGCUAACGCGUGAAGUUGACCGCCUGGGGAGUACGGCUGCAAGGUUGAAACUCAAAGGAAUUGACGGGGACCCGCACAAGCGGUGGAUGAUGUGGUUUAAUUCGAUGCAACGCGAAAAACCUUACCCACCUUUGACAUGUAUGGAAUCCUUUAGAGAUAGAGGAGUGCUCGAAAGAGAGCCAUAACACAGGUGCUGCAUGGCUGUCGUCAGCUCGCCGCU